UACGUAGGGUGCAAGCGUUUGUCCGGAAUUAUUGGGCGUAAAGAGCUCGUAGGCGGUCUGUCGCGUCUGCUGUGAAAAUCCAGGGCUCAACCCUGGACCUGCAGUGGGUACGGGCAGACUAGAGUGCGGUAGGGGAGAUCGGAAUUCCUGGUGUAGCGGUGAAAUGCGCAGAUAUCAGGAGGAACACCGGUGGCGAAGGCGGAUCUCUGGGCCGUAACUGACGCUGAGGUGCGAAAGCGUGGGGAGCAAACAGG
rnacentral:rRNA from 1 species